GAAGCUCAGUGGUAGAACAUCUGCUCUGCAAGAGGAAGGUCCCAGGAUCAAUUCCUGGCAUCUCCC